UNGGAUAAAGUGUAAUAGAGACAUAAUGG
rnacentral:piRNA from 1 species